GUGGCGACUCCUCACUUUUCCUAUUUCAGUGAGAAUUCGUCCGGCGACCACAAAACCCUUGCGACAUCACUGCUAGGGUUUUCUGAUCCUGCUUUUAAUUCUUUGCCAUCGAAAGAGUUGAGCACUAGUUCUCUAUCUAUUUCAAUUGUAAAUUCCUCUAUCUAUUCCUUAUGACACGUUAGGAAGUCACCAAGAGUCCCCUUAUCCAUUUUUGAUCAAAUUGAGUAUUUGUACUAUCCUAAUUCACAUAGAAAAUGUGAAAAUCUAUUUUCACUUCUGAUGGACCCACUCUUUUCUGGAUUUAUUGUCAACACCUUUGUCAUAUAUAUUUUGAGUACUUGAUGGUUAUAUGUCAUUAAUGGUUCCUCAAUAGGGAAUAUUUAGUAAUUUCUGAUUCAAAUUGAAUGACCAUUAGAGUUCCUUUUGAACAUGUUAGGAGAAGUGGUGAACGUGAAUAUGCUGUAAGAAAAUGGAGCUCUGUAUCAUUUUCUAUGCUUUUGUAUUGUCUUGUUUUUAUUUUCUAUAGCUAUGUGUUGUUAAGGGUUAGCUUGAUUCUGGGUUAGGUAAAUUAACUCCAUGCGGAAACAUUGAAACUCUUUGAUGGUGGCAGAUAAACUUGAGCUACUGCAAU
rnacentral:misc_RNA from 1 species